rnacentral:rRNA from 1 species
UACAGAGGGUGCAAGCGUUAAUCGGAAUUACUGGGCGUAAAGCGUGCGUAGACGGUUACAUAAGUCGGGUGUGAAAGCCCCGGGCUCAACCUGGGAAUUGCAUUCGAGACUGCGUAGCUAGGGUGCGGAAGAGGGAAGCGGAAUUUCCGGUGUAGCGGUGAAAUGCGUAGAUAUCAGGAGGAACACCGGUGGCGAAGGCGGCCAUCUGGACGACAACUGACGCUGAGAUGCGAAAGCGUGGGGAGCAAACAGG